rnacentral:lncRNA from 1 species
CCCCCCCCCCCCCCCCCCCGCCGUCUCCCAGUCCAGCCCUCUCUCUUCCUUUCCUUCCCCCCUCCUCUUCGCCCUGCUCGCGGGGCAACACGAGCCAGGCUGGCGGCGGCGGCGGCGGCGGCGAGGGAUGGCCUCGUCUUCCCACCUGGAGAAAGCGGGGAGAAAAACAGCCUCAGAGAGACCCUGUCCCAGUCCGGAGCGGUGCACUGUUUUUUUUUUUCUCAGAAGGAAAACGUGUCCCGAAGGUUCUGAAUUCACGUGUGCUUAAAAAACGAAUCGGUGUCCGCAUUUCAGAAGGACUUCUCUCCGCGUUUAAAGAAAACGUGCUUUACCGGCAUUAGUCCAGUCAAGCUACUGCAGGACAUACAGCUAAUGAUUAUUUUAACAUGCCUAUAACAUUUUGUGUGAUUGUUGCAACAUUUGCAAUUUGGCAUCAAGUGUUUGCUUUGCUUAUGAUAGCAUUUUCAAAGCUCAAGCGGUUGUGUGAUAUAGAAAUGUUAUUAAUUCAUUAAUAAAAAUUAAGCACCUAGGAAUCA